AGCUCAGAUGGUGAAAUGGUAUCACACCACGUUGUGGAAAUAGUCAUUGAAAUCAAUGAUUACAAGACCCGUGGCAUUGAGAGUUCGAUUCUCUCUCUGGGCAA